ACGGAGGGGGCAAACGUUGUUCGGAAUUACUGGGCGUAAAGGGUGCGUAGGCGGUUCGGCAAGUCUGAUGUGAAAUCUCCUCGCUCAACGAGGAAACGGCAUUGGAAACUGCCGGGCUGGAGGAUGGGAGAGGCAGGUGGAAUUCCUGGUGUAGCGGUGGAAUGCGUAGAUAUCAGGAAGAACACUCGUGGCGAAGGCGGCCUGCUGGCCCAUUUCUGACGCUCAAGCACGAAAGCCAGGGGAGCAAACGG
rnacentral:rRNA from 1 species